UAAGGAAUAUUGGUCAAUGGACGCAAGUCUGAACCAGCCAUGCCGCGUGAAGGAUGAAGGUCCUCUGGAUUGUAAACUUCUUUUAUAGGGGGCGAAAAAAGGGAAAUCUUUCUCACUUGACAGUACCCUAUGAAUAAGCACCGGCUAACUCCGUGCCAGCAGCCGCGGUAAUACGGAGGGUGCAAGCGUUAUCCGGAUUCACUGGGUUUAAAGGGUGCGUAGGCGGGCGUAUAAGUCAGUGGUGAAAUCCUGGAGCUUAACUCCAGAACUGCCAUUGAUACUAUAUGUCUUGAAUAUGGUGGAGGUAAGCGGAAUAUGUCAUGUAGCGGUGAAAUGCAUAGAUAUGACAUAGAACACCUAUUGCGAAGGCAGCUUACUACGCCUAUAUUGACGCUGAGGCACGAAAGCGUGGGGAUCAAACAGGAUUUAGAUACCCUGGUAGUCCACGCCCUAAACGAUGAUUACUCGACGUGUGCGAUAAACGGUACGCGUCUGAGCGAAAGCAUUAAAGUAAUCCACCUGGGGAAGUNCGACCGCAAGGUUGAAACUUAAAUGAAUUGACGGGGUCAUAGCUGUUUCCUG
rnacentral:rRNA from 1 species